CUUAUCAAGAGUGGUGGAGGUACAGGACCUGUGAAGCCACGGCAACCCUCCGGUCAAACGGAAACGGUGCCAAUUCCUACGACGUUUAUGCGGUCGAGAGAUGAGG
rnacentral:ncRNA from 1 species